ensembl:lncRNA
AGUGCCCAACCCAUAUAAUCACCUUCAGUUCCUCUUUUUCAAACCGAAGAGAAAAAAGAAAGAAAAUUCUCUAUCCAUCAGUACAUUUCUUGGUACGCUAAGCUGGUGUUACUUAAGUGUAAAGUCUGCUAUGUAUACGGGUUGAACAGGGAAGAAGGAGGCAUAGUUGGUUUAGAGAGAGUCUCCUUUAUCUCAGGACAUCGGAACUGGAUUCAAAUAAAGGGUGAAUUUUAGCCAUCUCAUCUUUUAAAGGGAUGAAGGGGACACACAAAAAAACCAUUCCCACGAAAGCAAGAAAUGGGAAAAGUAUGAAAUGCAAAAACUUGGGAAUGAUCAUGGAAAUAGCUUUUACUUGGAAACUUACAUGUUUUCAUAGACUGUGCCCUUUUUGAAGAUACUACAGAAAUAACCACUGUAUGAGAGAAUGCUGCUUUGAUUGAAGCAAUAGAAUCAACUUUGUUUGACCAUGAAUAAUUGAAGUCUUUGUGUUAAUGCUUCCUUUAAGGAGUAGUGGAUCAGUAAAUGUAACUUAACUGCAGGAAAAGACUUAUGGAUGGAAUUUAUGACUGCAUUUCAGUGAAAGUCUUUUCAUUUUUCCUUCUUGGUUAAAUAGAAGAAGGAUUACUUAGAUUAUUCAGUCUUGCAGCUGAAAUUGUUAGCAAUUCCCAAUGCUCCUUUUCAUCAUGAUUUUAGGACUGUCACCUAAGUGCAGUGGCCCUUCGUAAAAGAAGGAGUUGGAAGUAUUCCCACUGAGUUCUGAGACCGUGAGAGAGGGCUGUUUCUGUGCCCAGACUUAUGCUCCCCAUCACAGUACAGUGCCAUCACAGAGGAGAGUCAUCACACUGUGCUUCUCAGGCCUGUGAUUUUCAAGUGCACAGUUCCCAGUGCCAGUGAGUGGAGCUGUGUAAGCAGGGAUUCACAAGCUGUCACCCGGAGCUACAUUCACACAAGCACUAAUAUCAUUCAUUUCCCCUGUGAUGCUGUGAGAAGUGCAAGCAAGGAAAAAAUAGAGUAUUCUGGUGCAGUCUGUUCACUGGCCACCUUCUUGGGAGUCAAAUUAUCUUAAUGUA